AGAUUGAACGCUGGCGGAAUGCUUUACACAUGCAAGUCGAACGGCAGCACGGACUUCGGUCUGGUGGCGAGUGGCGAACGGGUGAGUAACAUAUCGGAACGUAUCCAAUAAUGGGGGAUGACUAAUCGAAAGGUUGGCUAAUACCGCAUACGCCCUACGGGGGAAAGCUAGGGACCUUCGGGCCUGGCGUUAAUGGAGCGGCCGAUAUCUGAUUAGCUAGUUGGUGGGGUAAAGGCCCACCAAGGCGACGAUCAGUAGCUGGUCUGAGAGGACGACCAGCCACACUGGAACUGAGACACGGUCCAGACUCCUACGGGAGGCAGCAGUGGGGAAUUUGGACAAUGGGCGCAAGCCUGAUCCAGCCAUUCCGCGUGAAUGAAGAAGGCCUUGGGUUGUAAGCUCUUUCGCAAGGAAGAAAACGUUAAGUACUACUAACAAUAGACUGAGGUUGACGUACUUGAUAAGAAGCACGCUAACACGUGCCAG
rnacentral:rRNA from 1 species